rnacentral:misc_RNA from 1 species
UACGUAGGUGGCGAACGUUAUCCGGAAUUACUGGGCGUAAAGGGUCCGUAGGCGGCCUGGAAAGUCGGACGUGACAGAGCGCAGCUCACCUGCGCGCGGUCGUUCGAAACUCUCAGGCUGGAAUCGGUACGAGGUCGGCGGAAUUCCCGGUGUAGUGGUGGAAUGCGUAGAGAUCGGGAAGAACCUCAAUGGCGCAGGCAGCCGGCUAGUACCAGAUUGACGCUGAGGGACGAAAGCGUGGGGAGCGAACAGG